GAGUCCCUGCGCCGCCGCGCUCGCGCGUUGGCCGCAGCGGCUGGGGGCCCGGGACGUGCGGGACCGCGAGGCCGAGCCGGGACGCCCCCCAGCGGCCGGCGCGGGCCCCAUGUCUGGCCCGCGCGGAGCGGAGCAGGCGAGGUGAAGCCCCCGGGCCGGCAGCCGGAGCUCGUGGCGGCGGCGCCGGCUCCAUGGGCAGCAGCGCACAGCGGCACGAUGAUGGACGUUAACAGCAGCGGCCGCCCGGACCUCUACGGGCACCUCCGCUCUUUCCUGCUGCCCGAGGUGGGGCGCGGGCUGCCCGACCUGAGCCCCGACGGCGCCGGCCCGGUUGCGGGCUCCUGGGCGCCGCACCUGCUGCGUGGGGUCCCCGAGGUGACGGCCAGCCCCGUGCCCACUUGGGACGCGCCCCCGGACAAUGCCUCCGGCUGCUGGGAGCAGAUCAACUAUGGCAGAGCCGAGAAAGUUGUGAUCGGCUCCAUCCUGACGCUCAUCACGCUGCUGACGAUCGCCGGCAACUGCCUGGUGGUGAUCUCGGUGUGCUUCGUCAAGAAGCUCCGCCAGCCCUCCAACUACCUGAUCGUGUCCCUGGCACUGGCCGACCUCUCGGUGGCCGUGGCGGUCAUGCCCUUCGUCAGCGUCACCGACCUCAUCGGAGGCAAGUGGAUCUUUGGCCACUUCUUCUGCAACGUCUUCAUCGCCAUGGACGUCAUGUGCUGCACAGCUUCGAUCAUGACCCUGUGCGUGAUCAGCAUCGACAGGUACCUUGGCAUCACCAGGCCGCUGACGUACCCUGUGAGGCAGAAUGGGAAAUGCAUGGCGAAGAUGAUUCUCUCCGUCUGGCUCCUUUCCGCCUCCAUCACCUUACCGCCGCUCUUCGGAUGGGCUCAGAAUGUAAACGAUGACAAAGUGUGUUUGAUCAGCCAGGACUUUGGCUACACGAUUUACUCCACCGCUGUGGCGUUUUACAUCCCCAUGUCCGUCAUGCUUUUCAUGUACUACCAGAUUUACAAGGCCGCCAGGAAGAGCGCCGCCAAACACAAGUUCCCCGGCUUCCCUCGCCUGGAGGGGCCCGACAGCGUCAUCUCCCUGAACGGCAUGGUGAAGCUCCAGAAGGAGGUGGAGGAGUGUGCCAACCUUUCGAGACUCCUCAAACACGAAAGGAAAAACAUCUCCAUCUUUAAGAGGGAACAGAAAGCGGCCACCACCUUGGGGAUCAUCGUCGGGGCCUUCACCGUGUGCUGGCUGCCGUUCUUCCUCCUCUCGACAGCCAGGCCCUUCAUCUGUGGCACUGCCUGCAGCUGCAUCCCGCUGUGGGUGGAGAGGACAUUUCUGUGGCUGGGCUAUGCAAACUCGCUCAUUAACCCUUUUAUAUAUGCCUUCUUCAACCGGGACCUGAGGACCACCUAUCGCAGCCUGCUCCAGUGCCAGUACCGGAACAUCAACCGGAAGCUCUCGGCCGCAGGCAUGCACGAGGCCCUGAAGCUUGCCGAGAGGCCCGAGAGACCCGAGUUUGUGCUGUAAGGUCGUUUAUCACUAUUUUCCUUUUCUCCCCCCUACCUUGUCGUGGAACUUCUUGAAGUGCAUCACAGACAGCUUCCUGAAUCAGUAGCUAGCUUACUGUCUCCCAAGCAUAUCAGAUUGGGAUUCAGAAUAUUAUAGACUCCAGUGCUCCAUCCAGUAGAAUUCUGAAAGCCAGAGAUAGGUGCUUAGUUAGAUUGGAAGCCGAGCCGGAUUUGCUGAUGAAUUGCAAUUGAUGUGACUGAUGACAAAGAAGGUGAUGUUUCCCACCCUUUCUCCAUAAAUAACAUCCAAAUUAUGUCCUUAUAUCUCCAAUUCUUGUAACAUUAUCAUUUUCAAUGAUAUUACUCUUACAUCCAGUAAAACUUUUUUUUUUAUAUAUAUAUAUAUAUUUGUGUGUGUGAGGAAGGUCGGCCCUGAGCUAACAUCUGCCAAUCCUCCUCUUUUUGCUGAGGAAGACUGGCCCUGGGCUAACAUCCGUGCCCAUCUUCCUCCACUUCAUAUGGGACUCCGCCACAGCAUGGCUUGAUGGGCGGUGCGUUGGUGCGUGCCUGGGAUCGGAACCUGCAAACCCCGGGCCACCGCAGCGGAGCGCGGGCACUUAACCGCUUGUGCCACCGGGCUGGCCCCCUCCAGUAAAACAUUUUUGAUGACCUCAUCCUUCACUGAUAAAUUCUUCUUUGGAAAAGGAAGCAAAUUCACACAGGCCAAAAGGAAGCAGCCUGGGACAAAGGAGAGUGGUUAGUAUGGGGUGAUGCCAGGAUGAAGCGAAGUCUUGAAAACUACGGAGCUUUCAGGAAGUGCUGCCCGCUUUUUUAGAAGUUGAGAACUGAUAGAUAGUUGGUGAGUUUGCUUAGGAGGCAUUAGUGACUUUGCAAGAAGCAACUGCAAGAGAGUGUUGGGAUCUGAAAAAGGAUUACAAAGGGCCAAUGCUGAUAAGGAAAUGGAUGUUUCACAUGUAAUCCACGUGCUAAUGAAUUUGGCAUUAUAAAGCAGGAAGGAGUCAGUAUGGUAAUGAGAGUUGUCAGCAGGUCCAAUGCUUUAAAUUUGAGGUAGAGGAGGCAUCUUCAUGUUUGAAAGCUGUGGGGAAAGAAACUGAAAUGAGGAGAUGGAAGGUGCUGGUGAGAGAGAGAGCAGAUUAGUGCUGGACGUGAGAGAGGAGGAGGGUUCCUCUUCAUUGAACCUGGCAGGAAGGAAUAGACCAGAGAACAUGGACCAAUUUAGCUGAGAAGCACCUUCCCAGUCAUCUUGUCCAAGCCCUUCAUUUGACAGAAGAGGCAACCGAGACCUGGAGGGUGAGAUGUCCCACAGUGAGCUAGUGGCAUCACCAGGUCUAGAUCCCACAUCAUCUGAAUCUUACUUCUAUACAUGUUUCAUAUAUUAGACUCCUUUAUGUGCAAUAAAGGUGGCAAAGGACACCUCUGUGCUCCCAGCUAUCUCAGGGAACAGCCCUGCUCAAAGAGGGUACAAAGUGCCCUCAUGGAUUACAGUAGACUCCAGAGGCUCCAAACUUCGCAUACUCCCCAAAUGACUCUGGAAACCUCUAGGAACUCAGCCUAUUUUCUAACUUCACUAGAAGGAAGCAGGCAGAAACAUCCCCUAAUAGGGAUGUGGGAAGCCAGAGAUCAACAUUUCUUGUCCUAGGAACUCAAAGUUGUAAGACUAUAGAUCUGCUAAUUCUUGACCUGGGUGUAGCUUUCACAGACAAAACUCUGACUACUGUAGAAAAAAAAGUCAUGACAUGAUCAAAAGAGGAAUAAUGGAG